rnacentral:rRNA from 1 species
CCUACGGGAGGCAGCAGUGAGGAAUAUUGCACAAUGGUGGUAACCCUGAUGCAGCGACGCCGCGUGCGUGAAGAAGUCUCUCGGUACGUAAAGCUCUAUCUGCAGGGAAGUAAAUUACGGUACCUGACUUAGUAGCCCCGUCUCACUACGUGCCGGCCGCCGCGGUAAUACGUAGGGGGCCAGCGUUCUCCGGAUUUACUGGGUGUAAAGGGAGCGUAGUCGGCAGGAAAAGUCUGGAGUGAAAUCCCGGGGCUUAACCCCGGAACUGCUUUGGAAACUGGGCGGCUGGAGUGCAGGAGGGGUAAGCGGAAUUCGUGGUGCAGCGGUGAAAUGCGUAGAUAUUAGGAGGAACACCGGUGGCAAAGGCGGCUUACGGGACUGUAACUGACGUUGAGACUCGAAAGCGUGGGGAGCGAACAGGAUUAGAGACCCGUGUAGUC